rnacentral:rRNA from 1 species
CCAAUCGAACCCGGAGAUAGCUGGUUCUCCUCGAAAUAGCUUUAGGGCUAGCCUCAUGGAUCAUUGAUGGGGGUAGAGCACUGAAUGUGCGCGGGGGCCACAAAGCCUACCAAACGCUAUCAAACUUCGAAUACCAUACAAUGCAGACCAUGGGAGUCAGUCCGCGAGAGAUAAGUUCCGCGGGCAAAAGGGGAACACCCCAGAUCAACCGCUAAGGUCCCCAAGUUCACGUUAAGUGGAGAAGGAUGUGGAAUUGCACAGACAACCAGGAUGUUGGCUCAGAAGCAGCCACACAUUUAAAGAGUGCGUAAUAGCUCACUGGUCGAGUGAUUGUGCGCCGAAGAUGUCCGGGGCUAAACGUGACACCGAAGCGAUGGGUGCAUCUGAAGAAGAUGCGCGGUAGAGGAGCAAUGUGCAGAGGCAGAAGCCGUAUCGAGAGGCACGGUGGACACUGCACAAGAGAGAAUGCCGGUAUGAGUAGCGAGAGGCAUGCGAGAAACAUGCCCGUCGAAAGCCCAAGGUUUCCUGGGGAAGGUUCAUCCGCCCAGGGUAAGUCGGGGCCUAAGCCGAGGACGGAAGUCGUAGGCGAUGGACAGCAGGUGUAGAUUCCUGCACUACCGAUGGAAUGAAGCAGUGACACAGAAGGAUAACUCGAGCAGGGUGAUGGUCAACCCUGUGCAAGCAUCAAGGUUGGGUUGUAGUGAAGUACGCAAUCCUACAAGCUGAGGUGUGAUGCGGACCGAAAUUUUAGUAGGGAAGCGAGUGAGUUCACGCUGGCGAGAAAAGCUGCUAGUAUAUCCAAAGGUACCCGUACCGGAAACCGACGCAGGUGGGCGAGGAGAGAAUCCUGAGACGAACGGGAGAACCCUUGUUAAGGAACUCGGCAAAAUGACCCCGUAACUUCGGGAUAAGGGGUGCCUGCGAGAGCAGGCCGCAGAGAAUAGUCACAAGCGACUGUUUAGCAAAAACACAGGUAUCUGCGAAAGCGAGAGCUGACGUAUAGGUGCUGACACCUGCCCGGUGCUGGAAGGUUAAGGGAACAUGUUAGAGCAAUCGAAGCAUCGAACCGAAGCCCCAGUAAACGGCGGCCGUAACUAUAACGGUCCUAAGGUAGCGAAAUUCCUUGUCGGGUAAGUUCCGACCCGCACGAAUGGUGUAACGACUUGUGAGCUGUCUCAACAGGGGGCCCGGUGAAAUUGAAGUAUGGGUGAAGAUGCCCAUUACCCGCGACUGGACGGAGAGACCCCGUAGAGCUUUACUGCAGCCUGAUAUUGAGUUUCGGUAACUGAUGCACAGGAUAGGUGGGAGUCUGAGAGACAUGGGUUUCGGCUCGUGUGGAGACGCUGUUGGGAUACCACUCUUCGGUUACUGAAAUUCUAACAUAGCUCUGUGAAACCAGAGGAUGGACAGUGUCAGGUGGACAGUUUGACUGGGGCGGUCGCCUCCGAAAGAGUAACGGAGGCGCCCAAAGGUACCCUCAGAAUGGAUGGAAACCAUUCGAAGAGCGCAAAGGCAGAAGGGUGCCUGACUGCGAGAGUGACAACUCGAGCAGAGACGAAAGUCGGGCUUAGUGAUCCGGCGGUAUUGAGUGGAAAAGCCGUCGCUUAACGGAUAAAAGCUACCUCGGGGAUAACAGGCUGAUCUCCCCCAAGAGUCCACAUCGACGGGGAGGUUUGGCAC